rnacentral:rRNA from 1 species
AUCUGGUUGAUCCUGCCAGUAGUCAUACGCUCGUCUCAAAGAUUAAGCCAUGCAUGUGUAAGUAUAAAUAAUUUUACUUUGAAACUGCGAAUGGCUCAUUAUAUCAGUUAUAGUUUAUUAGAAAUAUUUUACUACUUGGAUAACCGUAGUAAUUCUAGGGCUAAUACAUGAGUAAAACCUCAACUUCGGAAGAGGUGUGUUUAUUAGUAUGAAAACCAUAUAUCUUCGGAUAUAAUAGUGAGUAAUAAUAACCUUUCAUAUCGUAUGUCGUAAGAUAACGAUAGUUCUUUCAAGUUUCUGCCCUAUCAGCUUUCGAUGGUAGUAUAUGGGACUACCAUGGCAGUAACGGGUAACGAAGAAUUUGGGUUCGAUUUCGGAGAGGGAGCCUGAGAGAUGGCUACCACAUCCAAGGAAGGCAGCAGGCGCGUAAAUUACCCAAUCCUGACAUAGGGAGGUAGUGACAAUAAAUCACAAUGCGGAACUUUUAGUUUUGCAAUUGGAUUGAGAACAAUGUACAAAUGUUAUCGAUAAACAAUUGGAGGGCAAGUCUGGUGCCAGCAGCCGCGGUAAUUCCAGCUCCAAUAACGUAUAUUAACGUUGUUGCAGUUAAAAAGCUC